GGUAUAUCUGUUUGUUUUUUUCACUUAGAUCAGCAAAGGCAACGAGACAGAGACGCCGAAGGACGCCAUCUUUGUUGACGGCGGCGUACACAGCCGGGAGUGGAUAGCUCCGGCAAUGGCGCUGGAAAUUGUCUACAGGUUGGCUUUCAACGAAGAGCAAGACCCGGCUGUUGAUGACCUCCUGGACAGGUUUGACUGGAUUAUCGUACCCUUGGUCAACCCGGACG